ensembl:lncRNA
AUGUUGGGGUUUGUUGUUCUCUCAGUCUGUCAGGUGGAGGUGGAGGAGGGGGCGGAGUCUGUCCAACUGCCCUUCAAGACCACAGCUGACCUGCCUGAGGAUGCUGCAGUGGAGUGGAGACGCAUUGAACCUUACAUGACAGUCCAUGUGUAUCAGAACGGUUCUGAUCAGCCUGACAAACAGAACCAGGAUUACAAAGACCGAACUGAGAUGAAGGAAGACCUGCUGAAAGCUGGAGACCUCAGUCUGACCCUGAAAUCCCCCAAAGAGAGAGACACAGGAACAUACUGCUGCAACGUCUACAACAAGGAGGGAAACUUACUGAGAGAGAAAACAGUGCAGCUCACAGUCAGAGGGAGAACCAGGAACAGAAGCAGCUCCAUUGAUCCAACUCCUCUGAUGGCUGAUCAAUCUGUUUGAUUGGUCUGUUGAUCAAUCUUUGAUUAUUGAUCUUGUUGAAGGGGCUCAAAGGAAGAGAAUGUCAACGUUCAGCUUUCAGUGUUUCCUCUCUUCAUCGUCUGAAAUAACCUGCAGUCCAUACUGUGAUUGAUUGAUUGAUUGAUUGAUUGAUUGAUUGGUCUCAUGUAGCUCUAUAAUGUUUCUCUGAUGUUUGUGUAUUCAGCUUCUAUACAUAUAUAUCUGGCUGUGUCUCAGGAGGUAGAGCGGGUCGUCCACUGAUCAGAAGGUUGCUGGUUCGAUCCCCGGCUCCUCCCGCUGCAUGUCGAAGUGUCCUUGAGCAAAAUACUGAACCCCGAACUGCUCCUGAUGCUGAAUCACUGUAUGAAUGAGUGAAUGAGUGAAUGAGUGAAUGAGUGAAUGUAUGAAUGAGUGAAUGAGUGAAUGUGGCUGUAGUGUAAAUGGCUUUGAGUGGUCAGAACACUAGACAGACACUAAGUUCAGUCACUUUCUGUGAUUGAAUGAAGUUAUUGUUUGAGUGUCAGUCAGCUGAACUGUUCUCAUGUGUUUGAAUCCAUAAAGUGUUGUGAGCAGAUGAGUUAUGGAUUCGAUCAUUUCACACUCUGUUUAGAGAAUGAUGAAUAUUGAGGAGAACAACUGUAAAUAAAGCUCAAAUGUACAGAAAUCAUUUCUCCACUCUGACAGCAUCAUGAAAAUGGAUCUAAAGCUGUGAGAAUGAUGGAUUCAGGAGGCAUCAAAACUUUGAUUACUACUCUCUUCUGAAAUAACAAAAGUGCUCAGUGUGACGGCCUUAUUGUGUUCCUCUUGCUUGGUUGUUUACUCUUUGUUUCAGGUAGUAAGGGGUGGAGCUGAGAUUACUCUCUGCUGCAGCUCACCUGAGCAGACUCUCUCACUCUCUUCCUCUGGCUGCUGACUGAACUGUUGGGUUUUGUUUGUGUUCCGGGUUUUACAUUCAUACAUAUACACCUCACCCUUCACUCACAUAUUAAACUGUACUGAUUAUUUUGGUGUUUACUUCAUUAAAUUGUCAGAACAAUUCACAGACUGUGUGGUCUCCGUCUUUGUCCCACUCUUUUGAGCCAGGUUGUGACUUCAGUUUGCCUUUAGUUAUUGAUGAUACUCAUCUAUGUGAAGACACUGAUCACGUUAAUGAUUUCUCACAAUAAUUAUCAACAAUGACUUUAAAAGGUGGGAAACAGUUAUUAACUAAUCUAUUAACAAUAUUCAAUCUCAUAUUUAGAAGAGGCCUGAGGGCGACUAUAUUCCAGUAUAAAGUGUCUGUUACACUCCGGUUGUAUUAUAGCAGAGUUCAACUGUAUUUAUAGCUCAUUUAAAUAUCUUUAAUUAAACAUUAAAAAGAA